UCCAUUAUGGUGCAGUUCUUCC
rnacentral:piRNA from 1 species